UUCCUUGGAAUGAACUACACUCAGCACCGUACCAAAGCAACGUGCACUAAUCACUCGGAGAGAGACAAAACUGGGGAAAAUUCUCAAGACACUCGGGGUUGAUAGUGCUCGAGAUAUCACCCGAAACCCACCGAGCGCCCAAAGCAAAGCAAAGCCACAGAGAAAUAGAGCCAGCCAGUCAGUCAGGCCUCAACCUAACGAUCUAGCCUCAACCGGUGCAAAAAAGAGUUACCCUCCGCCUGCGGCUCCAGUCGGCCUCUUCUGGCUCGUCUUCCUUUGGCGGCGCUCGCAUUCCCGUUCCCUCUCCGUCUCCCCCGCCUCCAGUCUUCUCCGUCUCCGCCAGUCUCCCUCUUUUCCUAAGCCGGCAUCGUGCAAUGAGAGGGAGAAAAAGGGGGCGAUCGCCACUUGAGAGAGCUUUUACUGGCGGCAAAUCUGUAGCUCCUCCCCUCCGCUCGUUGUGAGGCUCGAUUUUUCACGAUCUCUCGGCAGAGAAAGAAUUCGCUGCUUGCGAGUCGACCGGGGAAAUGUACAUGGAGGACCACGUUGGUUUUGCGAUUGCAAAUGGACUGGAAAUGAACACCACCUUGAUGAGCCUGAGACAUGGAUGGACUUGUUCCAGUUAGACCUGAGACGAAUAUAGAUAUUAUAUCGAAUGGAGAGAAUUAGGCUCAAGCUUUCCAUUAUGAGUGACUCGGUCCGACCACAAUCGAAGCAGCCUCACCAUCACCAAUAUACUACUGGAGUUCGGAGUUCCUAGUUCUGAUAAUGAGACUGACUUGUAACGAGUUCCAAAGAUAUGUCCAGAGCCCAAAGAAACCACGUUAUCGUCAUGAGGGCCAAUGUUCACCAAUAGUUGCGCGGGCUCAAUUUUUCCCUCAAAUGCGAAAAUGGCAAAAGUACACAACAUGCAAUAUGUACGUGGCGAGGUUCAACCUGGAUCUGAAACGGCUCUUUUUUAACAUGGAGUCUCCAAAUCAUCCACUCUGUCGCGAAGAAUCCACACACACCUCAGCUGCCCUCCCCACCACCGAGACCGUGGUUUUCUUUCCGAAGCCAAAGAUCUUCUGUGAUCAUUUGCACGGACUUCUCGUUCUUUGGAGGCAUCGAAAGGUGAUGGUUUAGAUCGCAUGUUCCACGUCGUUGGCAUCGCUCCUUCCCACAUGCAGUCCCGUCGCAAUCAUAAACGUCCCACCCAUUCCACCCGAAACUGGGCCUCAAUGGGUGCCAAUGAGUGUUCACCUGGAUAUUUCUGAGACAUCCUUGGUAGGUACUAAGUUGAAAAUCCAGCUCACCCAAUGGAUGACGAUAGUCUUCUUUGAUGUUUCCUAUAUUGGGCAUUGAAAACAUAAGCAGGUACAUUUCAGUUUACAAUUUAGUAUCAAAUCUGUUGUAACGGUACCGACCUAGAUAGAGAAUAGGUACCACAUCAAGACUGAUGAGGUCCAGAUGGAAUCGACCGACGGCAUUUUGGCCGUUCAAUUUCAAGAAAGCGUCUCGACCAGUCCGACCUGCCUCAAUCUGGUUCCAUUCAUUCGUGUUAAUACAGCAAAGACUCAAUGUCAGCACGUUGCCAAAAGUGCUUCUGGAGCCACCUAGAGACAUUGCCAGCACUAGGCUUCCGUUUUGAAGGGACAGAGAAAAGAAGUCUGCGUUGAAAAAGUCCCGCGAUUGCCCGAGGAAUAAUAGCAUUCCUUCUGAGGACUCGGGUUUAAUUUCCAUAGAGAAUAAGGACAUUUGCCGCAAAUUAGUCGUCAAAUUAAUCCAUAGUUGGGAGUAUGGACUUCCUAGCCGUGCAUCAGACACAUCCAGACCUAUACAAGAAGGGGAUAUGUUGAAAAGUAAUAAGAUUAAACUACCAAUUGAUGAUGGACUUACUCUCCGUGCAAUAGUUCCCACUUUUUCCGAAGGGACACUUGCAAAAAUAUGUUCCAUUCAGAUGAAGAGAACAUUCCGAGUCCUGGGAACAUUUAUGCUUGCCCGUGGUGCAAAGGCUCGUUUCCUCCUGACAUCGAACUCCAAACCAUCCAUCCGGGCAUGAACAUCUGCAAAAUGAUACGUACCGUUCAGUUGAGAUGAAUAAGUAUUUUGACUGGAAAUCAUGGAACAUACGUGAAUGAGGCCCCAUAUCCAAUGCAGGUGCCCCCUCUCUGACAAGGCUGAGUCGAGCAAAUGUCUUGAUGACAUUCCUGGAUGUUUCGACCAUGCACCUUUUUAAGAUUAACCAUGGAAUGGAGUGGAAUGAGGGGCAAAACGGAAUACGACGAUUUCAGGGAAAAAUCGAAGAUGCAACCCUCGAAACCUCGAUGAACCGGGAGAUCAUGUGUUAUGUUGGGAAAUUGAUCUACUUGCAGCCAACCUCGUUUUCCAUAGCGGCCAAAGCGAACGGAAUGCAUGACGUAGCGGUAAUCGAUAGGUUGAGAUGUGAAAAUUCUUCGAGGGCCUUUAAAAGAGAAAUAAACAAUAA